GAUUUGCUUAUGCAACUCAUUGACUGAAAUACCAGACGAACUGGCUGCCACAACUUGAGCAAGGACCUUGGGGCAGGGGCGUGGUUAGCUGUACACUGAACGGAAUUUCAGUGACUUUGCAUCUGGCAACUUCGCUCUCACCUUCACAUUGAAUGGGACACCGACAACAUUGUCGGGUUAGUUGCCCCACCGCUGUCAAGGACACGUGCCACAGGAAGUUCAAAGAGUUUAAGGCGAAAGUCCGACAGCCGGAAAAAUCAAUAAUGUCGUAUACACGGGGUGCAAAUGUACAUAUGUACAUAUGUACAGGAAAAUGACUGCCUCAGCACGUGUCAGCUUAUAAGGGGGCAGGAUCCAUUAAAAAUUACCUCGCAGGACUGGACGAAUAUCGCGUGAUUUUCGUGGAAAACCCGCUGCAAUUGGUUGCUGGCCCUGCGGGAGUGGGAGCUUCUCCAUUCAACGUUGUUUGAUCGAUGUCUGGACUCCAUUAACCGGGUUGUUGUUCUGCGUUCGUGCCAUCAAGACAUUGCGAGUUGACUUAGUCCCGCGAUUCCCACUCCAAUUCCACGUGUGGCGAUGGCAAUUGAUGUGGAAUUUCAAUACUAACAUUUGACAUAAUUCCUAUUUAUUUGUGCUUAGCUCACGUGCACUUAUGUAUGUUUACCAGGUGGCAUGACCUUCGUGCCAGUGUGGUUUUGAUAACGAUUUACGAUAAUGGCGGAAAGUCCUUUUUUUUAUGCAUAGGUAGUAUUGGAAUGAACUUAUUAAGCAUGUGGAAUUUGUUUUACCGACCAUCCAACUUUAAAUAACAUUAUUUUAAUUCUUAUUUGCUUAAACAUUUUGUUCAGUAGUUUUUUAAUAACUAAAAAUGAAACAUUUAGUACUUAUUUGUAGCUUUGUCUUGAAAUUAGAAAAAUACUUCUACUGAUAAUAUUUCGUUUUCCAAAGAAUAGUAUUUUAUAUUUAUUGUUCAUCGUUAAUAUUUAUUAGUUAUUAGUAUUUAGGUUUAAUUACCAGAAAAAACCCAAGCAUAGAAAUCCUUAUCUUUUGUGCGAUCACUUUUUUAAUGAUACAUUUCAAUUUUCAACUGUACUGACCCCCAUUUCCGAAGAGAGUGAAUCAGCAAUAUUAUCAAAUUCCGCGGAACAAACCAUCUUGAAUGUCAGAGGUCCUCCAGCCGGAAAGUGAAAGCUGCUCCGGAAUGCUGAGCACGAAGCAAGAUAUUAUCCUUUUUCCAGGAAUCGUACGCUGAUUCAGGCCCCCAACCUCGUGGGUGGGAGUGGGGUCAACAGUGGAUGGGUCGCAGCCACACACACAGAUAGUAAGUGCUCCGUGCUGUUUCAUUCAUAAAAGCUGAAAAAGCUUUUCGGAUUCAGUCGCUCGUGGAGAUGAGUCAUAUGUGAGAGACAC